rnacentral:rRNA from 1 species
CCUACGGGCGGCUGCAGUAAGGAAUAUUGGUCAAUGGACGAAAGUCUGAACCAGCCAUCCCGCGUGCAGGAUGACUGCCCUAUGGGUUGUAAACUGCUUUUAGCAGAGACGAAACGCCUUCAUUUAUGAGGGUCUGACGGUAUCUGCAGAAUAAGCACCGGCUAACUCCGUGCCAGCAGCCGCGGUAAUACGGAGGGUGCAAGCGUUAUCCGGAAUCACUGGGUUUAAAGGGUGCGUAGGCGGAUAUUUAAGUCAGUGGUGAAAUCUUGUCGCUUAACGAUAAAAUUGCCAUUGAUACUGAAUGUCUUGAAUUGGGUUGAGGUUAGCGGAAUGUGACAUGUAGCGGUGAAAUGCAUAGAUAUGUCAUGGAACACCAAUUGCGAAGGCAGCUAGCUGGGCCUUGAUUGACGCUGAGGCACGAAAGCGUGGGUAGCGAACAGGCUUAGAUACCCCAGUAGUC